CUGGCAUGGCUCAUCUCAGCUCCUUCUGCCGUGUGCUAUAAAGAUGGCUGGCGUGGGUAUCUACCCAGUCCCUAGGCUGUGAGCAUCCACCCUAAGGGCAAAACCCUCAGCAUACCCUCCCAGCAGAACACUGCAAUAGGAAUGUGCAGCACACAGAGGUUCGGCGACUUUCUGAGGCUCACACCGCUGCUGGCAGAUAGCAUCACAGAGAUUGUGGACUUUAUCUUCCUUGUGAUGGCAUCUUCUGAAGGAGGAAACUGAGGCUUCUAGGAAGCAAAGUGCAUUGCUCACCUUCUUGUGACUAAGGCCUGAAGCUGGACAGUUGACUUGGAGAUCAUGUGCCCAGCCAUGUGAUUUACUCUUAGAAGCCAUGAAAAGAGAUUGUUUUCAAGAUCCAGAGAGAUGGCUGGAGAUAUGUAUGACUCAGCGGUUAAGAGCAUGUACUGCUCUUGCAGAGGACCCAGGUUUGAGUGUGAGCACUCACAACGGCUUACAAGGGAUCCUGCACCCUCUUCUGACCUCUGUGAGCACCUGCACUCAUAAGCACAUACCCCCCAACACACACGUAAUUUAAAAAUAAAAUAAAUAUGUUAA